AUACAAGUUGUUAUGAAUUUACUUAAUGUUGUAGCAAUUUUAUAUGAAUUCUUGAUUUAAAUAGGAAGGGUGCACUCUGCAUGAAUUUCGAAAGAGAAUUGGGUUAAUAUUCCCGAAUUGGGACACGGUGGUGGACAAUAAUGUUAGGAAAUAUGGAGAUGUCAUCGGGGGCCUGGGAAGAGUUAUCUUUUCUUUUCAACGACUUUUCCACCCUGAAAUCAGUUCAACUGGAGAUAGGGUCCAACAUAUGGAAUAUCACCACAUGUCUUGCGGUGUUUGGUGCCCCCUCGACGUCCAUUGAAAAUAUGGAGAAUUGAGUACCAUCCAUGCUCGAUCGUACUCAUAUCUGCCUCCUUGGAUAU
rfam:Picea glauca, whole genome shotgun sequence.